AGCCUUAAAAGUUAAAUGGCCAACAAUUAA
rnacentral:tRNA from 1 species